GAGGAGUACAUGAAGGCGAAUGAGGUUACUCUACUGAAUGUUUUGUCCGUUUGCCUAGAGGAGUCAGAGCAGUUGAUAGUGAAAGAACUGCAUGGCUACUCACUUAGAAAUGGUCUUGAAUACCAUGAGUUGUUAACAAAUGCUUUUAUAGCUGCCUAUGCGAACUGUGGAUUGCUCAGAUAUGCAGAGCUUGUAUUCCACGGAGUGGCGAACAAGACAGUAAGCUCUUGGAAUGCACUGAUAAGAGGCUAUGCUCA
rnacentral:misc_RNA from 1 species